GACGAACGCUGGCGGCGUGCUUAACACAUGCAAGUCGAACGGAAAGGCCCUGCUUUUGUGGGGUGCUCGAGUGGCGAACGGGUGAGUAACACGUGAGUAACCUGCCCUUGACUUUGGGAUAACUUCAGGAAACUGGGGCUAAUACCGGAUAGGAGCUCCUGCUGCAUGGUGGGGGUUGGAAAGUUUCGGCGGUUGGGGAUGGACUCACGGCUUAUCAGCUUGUUGGUGGGGUAGUGGCUUACCAAGGCUUUGACGGGUAGCCGGCCUGAGAGGGUGACCGGCCACAUUGGGACUGAGAUACGGCCCAGACUCCUACGGGAGGCAGCAGUGGGGGAUAUUGCACAAUGGGCGGAAGCCUGAUGCAGCAACGCCGCGUGCGGGAUGAAGGCCUUCGGGUUGUAAACCGCUUUCGCCUGUGACGAAGCGUGAGUGACGGUAAUGGGUAAAGAAGCACCGGCUAACUACGUG
rnacentral:rRNA from 1 species